CAGGUUUACCUGUGUGACUGCGUACCUUUUGUAUAAUGGGUCAGCGACUUAUAUUCUGUAGCAAGGUUAACCGUAUAGGGGAGCCGCAGGGAAACCGAGUCUUAAUUGGGCGUUAAGUUGCAGGGUAUAGACCCGAAACCCGGUGAUCUAGCCAUGGGCAGGUUGAAGGUUGGGUAACACUAACUGGAGGACCGAACCGACUAAUGUUGAAAAAUUAGCGGAUGACCUGUGGCUGGGGGUGAAAGGCCAAUCAAACCGGGAGAUAGCUGGUUCUCCCCGAAAGCUAUUUAGGUAGCGCCUCGUGAAUUCAUCUCCGGGGGUAGAGCACUGUUUCGGCUAGGGGGCCAUCCCGGCUUACCAACCCGAUGCAAACUGCGAAUACCGGAGAAUGUUAUCACGGGAGACACACGGCGGGUGCUAACGUCCGUCGUGAAGAGGGAAACAACCCAGACCGCCAGCUAAGGUCCCAAAGUCAUGGUUAAGUGGGAAACGAUGUGGGAAGGCCCAGACAGCCAGGAUGUUGGCUUAGAAGCAGCCAUCAUUUAAAGAAAGCGUAAUAGCUCACUGGUCGAGUCGGCCUGCGCGGAAGAUGUAACGGGGCUAAACCAUGCACCGAAGCUGCGGCAGCGACACUCAGGUGUUGUUGGGUAGGGGAGCGUUCUGUAAGCCUGCGAAGGUGGCCUGUGAGGGUUGCUGGAGGUAUCAGAAGUGCGAAUGCUGACAUAAGUAACGAUAAAGCGGGUGAAAAGCCCGCUCGCCGGAAGACCAAGGGUUCCUGUCCAACGUUAAUCGGGGCAGGGUGAGUCGACCCCUAAGGCGAGGCCGAAAGGCGUAGUCGAUGGGAAACGGGUUAAUAUUCCCGUACUUGGUGUUACUGCGAAGGGGGGACGGAGAAGGCUAUGUUGGCCGGGCGACGGUUGUCCCGGUUUAAGCGUGUAGGUGUGUGUUCCAGGUAAAUCCGGUUCACUUUAACACUGAGGCGUGACGACGAGGCACUACGGUGCUGAAGCAACAAAUGCCCUGCUUCCAGGAAAAGCCUCUAAGCAUCAGGUAACAUCAAAUCGUACCCCAAACCGACACAGGUGGUCAGGUAGAGAAUACCAAGGCGCUUGAGAGAACUCGGGUGAAGGAACUAGGCAAAAUGGUGCCGUAACUUCGGGAGAAGGCACGCUGACACGUAGGUGAAGUGAUUUACUCAUGGAGCUGAAGUCAGUCGAAGAUACCAGCUGGCUGCAACUGUUUAUUAAAAACACAGCACUGUGCAAACACGAAAGUGGACGUAUACGGUGUGACGCCUGCCCGGUGCCGGAAGGUUAAUUGAUGGGGUCAGCGCAAGCGAAGCUCCUGAUCGAAGCCCCGGUAAACGGCGGCCGUAACUAUAACGGUCCUAAGGUAGCGAAAUUCCUUGUCGGGUAAGUUCCGACCUGCACGAAUGGCGUAAUGAUGGCCAGGCUGUCUCCACCCGAGACUCAGUGAAAUUGAACUCGCUGUGAAGAUGCAGUGUACCCGCGGCAAGACGGAAAGACCCCGUGAACCUUUACUAUAGCUUGACACUGAACAUUGAGCCUUGAUGUGUAGGAUAGGUGGGAGGCUUUGAAGUGUGGACGCCAGUCUGCAUGGAGCCGACCUUGAAAUACCACCCUUUAAUGUUU
rnacentral:rRNA from 1 species